CCUACGGGUGGCUGCAGUGGGGAAUAUUGGACAAUGGGCGCAAGCCUGAUCCAGCAAUACCGCGUGUGUGAAGAAGGCCUGAGGGUUGUAAAGCACUUUUAAUCGGGAGGAAUAGCGGUCGGUUAAUACCCGGUCGUCUGACAUUACCGAUAGAAAAAGCACCGGCUAACUCCGUGCCAGCAGCCGCGGUAAUACGGAGGGUGCAAACGUUGAUCGGAGUGUGUGGGCGCGAUUGGUUCAGUCACGGUUGAAAGCCCCGGGCUUAACCUGGGAACGGCAUUUGAAACUGAUCGACUAGAGUUGGGUAGAGGGGAGUGGAAUUUCAGGUGUAGCGGUGAAAUGCGUAGAUAUCUGAAGGAACACCAGUGGCGAAGGCGGCUCCCUGGACCCAAACUGACGCUGAGGCACGAAAGCGUGGGUAGCAAACAGGAUUAGAUACCCUAGUAGUC
rnacentral:rRNA from 1 species